rnacentral:rRNA from 1 species
AUUGAACGCUGGCGGCAGGCCUAACACAUGCAAGUCGAACGAGUGGCGGACGGGUGAGUAAUGUCUGGGAAACUGCCCGAUGGAGGGGGAUAAAUAAUGGAAAAGGUAGCUAAUACCGCAUACCAUCGGAUGUGCCCAGAUGGGAUUAGCUAGUAGGUGGGGUAAUGGCUCACCUAGGCGACGAUCACUAGCUGGUCUGAGAGGAUGACCAGCCACACGGGAACUGAGACACGGUCCAGACUCCUACGGUAGGCAGCAGUGGGGAAUAUUGCACAAGGUGCGCAAGCAUGAUGCAGCCAUGCCGCGUGUAUGAAGAAGGCCUUCGGGUUGUAAAGUACUUGCAGCGAGGAGGCGUUACUCGCAGAAGAAGCACCGGCUAACUCCGUGCCAGCAGCCGCGGUAAUUC